GGAUUUGAGGGCAAUCUGGAUGUGAAAUCUGUCCUACCAUUGAUUGCCAGGGUUGAUUUGGUUGAUCUUGCUGGCUAGGUGGGUGUCCCCUUCCUCUCCCACUGCUCCACGUCCAUCCCAUCCGAAGCUGCACACUCUGUCAAAGAGGACAACCUUUCCUAAUGCAGGAGGACCGGUCUUCAGUCAAGGUUAUAGGAGUAGCUGCACUCCCCUGAUAGAACCUCUGAACAAGCUCUCAAGGUCCAUAAAUAUUGCUAGACAAAAAUGUUACAAAAAUUACAUGGAUCAAUACCACUGCAAAUAUAU
rnacentral:snRNA from 1 species